GGGGAACCUUAGACAAUGGGCGCAAGCCUGAUCUAGCCAUGCCGCGUGAGCGAUGAAGGCCUUAGGGUUGUAAAGCUCUUUCGCUGGGGAAGAUAAUGACUGUACCCAGUAAAGAAGCCCCGGCUAACUCCGUGCCAGCAGCCGCGGUAAUACGGAGGGGGCUAGCGUUAUUCGGAAUUACUGGGCGUAAAGCGCACGUAGGCGGACUGGAAAGUUGGGGGUGAAAUCCCGGGGCUCAACCUCGGAACUGCCUUCAAAACUCCCAGUCUUGAGUCCGAGAGAGGUGAGUGGAAUUCCGAGUGUAGAGGUGAAAUUCGUAGAUAUUCGGAGGAACACCAGUGGCGAAGGCGGCUCACUGGCUCGAUACUGACGCUGAGGUGCGAAAGCGUGGGGAGCAAAC
rnacentral:rRNA from 1 species